rnacentral:rRNA from 1 species
GUAGCGACUCCUACGGGAGGCAGCAGUGGGGGUAAUAUUGCACGAAUCGGGGGGAAAACCCUGAUGCAGCCAUGCCGCGUGUGUGAAGAAGGCCUUCGGGUUGUAAAGCACUUUCAGUCGUGAGGAAGGUAGUGUAGUUAAUAGCUGCAUUAUUUGACGUUAGCGACAGAAGAAGCACCGGCUAACUCCGUGCCAGCAGCCGCGGUAAUACGGAGGGUGCGAGCGUUAAUCGGAAUUACUGGGCGUAAAGCGCAUGCAGGUGGUUUGUUAAGUCAGAUGUGAAAGCCCCGGGGCUCAACCUCGGAAUAGCAUUUGAAACUGGCAGACUAGAGUACUGUAGAGGGGGUAGAAUUUCAGGUGUAGCGGUGAAAUGCGUAGAGAUCUGAAGGAAUACCGGUGGCGAAGGCCGGCCCCCUCGGACAGAUACUGACACUCAGAUGCGAAAGCGUGGGGAGCAAACAGGAUUAGAUACCCUGGUAG